rnacentral:rRNA from 1 species
UACGAAGGGGGCUAGCGUUGCUCGGAAUUACUGGGCGUAAAGGGCGCGUAGGCGGACAGUUUAGUCAGAGGUGAAAGCCCAGGGCUCAACCUUGGAAUUGCCUUUGAUACUGGCUGUCUUGAGUUCGGGAGAGGUGAGUGGAAUGCCGAGUGAGAGGUGAAAUUCGUAGAUAUUCGGCGGAACACCAGUGGCGAAGGCGACUCACUGGACGACUGUUGCGCUG